CCCUUAGAUGUUCUGGGCCGCACGCGCGCUACACUGACGAAUGCAACGAGCUUAUAACCUUGGCCGAAAGGUCUGGGUAAUCUCCAAAUUUCGUCGUGAUGGGGAUAGAUUAUUGCAAUUAUUAAUCUUCAACGAGGAAUGCCUAGUAAGCGCAAGUCAUCAGCUUGCGUUGAUUACGUCCCUGCCCUUCGUACACACCGCCCGUCGCUCCUACCGAUUGAAUGGUCCGGUGAAGCGUUCGGACCGUGGCCUUUGGACGGUUCGCCGUCUGUUGGCUGCGGGAAGUUCGUUAAACCUUAUCAUUUAGAGGAAGGAGAAGUCGUAACA
rnacentral:rRNA from 1 species